UAAUACAUGCAAGUCGAACGAACUCUGGUAUUGAUUGGUGCUUGCAUCAUGAUUUACAUUUGAGUGAGUGGCGAACUGGUGAGUAACACGUGGGAAACCUGCCCAGAAGCGGGGGAUAACACCUGGAAACAGAUGCUAAUACCGCAUAACAACUUGGACCGCAUGGUCCGAGUUUGAAAGAUGGCUUCGGCUAUCACUUUUGGAUGGUCCCGCGGCGUAUUAGCUAGAUGGUGGGGUAACGGCUCACCAUGGCAAUGAUACGUAGCCGACCUGAGAGGGUAAUCGGCCACAUUGGGACUGAGACACGGCCCAAACUCCUACGGGAGGCAGCAGUAGGGAAUCUUCCACAAUGGACGAAAGUCUGAUGGAGCAACGCCGCGUGAGUGAAGAAGGGUUUCGGCUCGUAAAACUCUGUUGUUAAAGAAGAACAUAUCUGAGAGUAACUGUUCAGGUAUUGACGGUAUUUAACCAGAAAGCCACGGCUAACUACGUGCCAGCAGCCGCGGUAAUACGUAGGUGGCAAGCGUUGUCCGGAUUUAUUGGGCGUAAAGCGAGCGCAGGCGGUUUUUUAAGUCUGAUGUGAAAGCCUUCGGCUCAACCGAAGAAGUGCAUCGGAAACUGGGAAACUUGAGUGCAGAAGAGGACAGUGGAACUCCAUGUGUAGCGGUGAAAUGCGUAGAUAUAUGGAAGAACACCAGUGGCGAAGGCGGCUGUCUGGUCUGUAACUGACGCUGAGGCUCGAAAGUAUGGGUAGCAAACAGGAUUAGAUACCCUGGUAGUCCAUACCGUAAACGAUGAAUGCUAAGUGUUGGAGGGUUUCCGCCCUUCAGUGCUGCAGCUAACGCAUUAAGCAUUCCGCCUGGGGAGUACGGCCGCAAGGCUGAAACUCAAAGGAAUUGACGGGGGCCCGCACAAGCGGUGGAGCAUGUGGUUUAAUUCGAAGCUACGCGAAGAACCUUACCAGGUCUUGACAUACUAUGCAAAUCUAAGAGAUUAGACGUUCCCUUCGGGGACAUGGAUACAGGUGGUGCAUGGUUGUCGUCAGCUCGUGUCGUGAGAUGUUGGGUUAAGUCCCGCAACGAGCGCAACC
rnacentral:rRNA from 2 species